rnacentral:rRNA from 1 species
UACGGGGGGGGUAAGCGUUGUUCGGAAUUACUGGGCGUAAAGGGCUCGUAGGCGGCCAACUAAGUCAUACGUGAAAUCCCUCAGCUUAACUGGGGAACUGCGUGUGAUACUGGAUGGCUUGGAUUUGGGAGAGGGAUGCGGAAUUCCAGGUGUAGCGGUGAAAUGCGUAGAUAUCUGGAGGAACACCGGUGGCGAAGGCGGCAUCCUGGACCGGCAUUGACGCUGAGGCGCGAAAGCUAGGGGAGCAAACGGG